UACGUAGGUGGCGAGCGUUAUCCGGAAUUAUUGGGCGUAAAGAGCGCGCAGGUGGUUGAUUAAGUCUGAUGUGAAAGCCCACGGCUUAACCGUGGAAGGUCAUUGGAAACUGGGGAACUUGAGUGCAGAAGAGGAGAGUGGAAUUCCAUGUGUAGCGGUGAAAUGCGUAGAUAUAUGGAGGAACACCAGUGGCGAAGGCGACUCUCUGGUCUGUAACUGACGCUGAGGCUCGAAAGCGUGGGGAGCAAACAGGAUUAGA
rnacentral:rRNA from 1 species